GACGUAGGGCGCGAGCGUUGUUCGGAAUUACUGGGCGUAAAGAGCGCGCAGGCGGUCGUUCAAGUCGCGUGUGAAAGCCCCCGGCUCAACUGGGGAGGGUCACGCGAUACUGAUCGACUCGAAGGCAGGAGAGGGUAGUGGAAUUCCCGGUGUAGUGGUGAAAUGCGUAGAUAUCGGGAGGAAUACCGGUGGCGAAGGCGGCAUCCUGGACCGGCAUUGACGCUGAGGAGCGAAAGCCAGGGGAGCAAACGGG
rnacentral:rRNA from 1 species